CAGCAAUGUAGAGACCCAUAAUUAUUUUCUCAAAUUUUAAAUGUUUAAUAUGUAUUUGGAUUAUCAAAGUGUGUAUAACAAUGUGGAUAUGAGUUGGGUCAAUGUGAGAUGACUUGUAAGUUGUGGGAGUUGACGUGAUACAAUAGGAGUGAAAGGGUGAAAGUGUUAUUUGUGCUAUAUAAGUCAAAAAAAAAAAAGGGGAGCAGGAGAUUAUUUUCUCUUUUCCUUUCCUUUCUUUUCUUCUUCUCCUGCGUCUCUCUCGGCUCUCACCUCUCUCACCUUCUCUCUUCGAUUUCAUCGACCACGAGUGAGACUUUUGAAAAAUCCCAAGUACUAAAGUUGUUCUACGCGAUGAGAGCUUCCUAUCCAUCGAAGAAAAUUCACGAUCGGAGCACUUCGAAGUUUCCUCCAUGUUCGGGCUUGCUUCUAACCCUCGAGGUACUCGCCAUGGCACUUAGCUUGGAUUGCAUGGAGUGCACAUUGAGACGUCUCUUGAGAGCUUCAUUGGAAUCAUUAAGGUGGUGUUUUAUCAUCUAGUCUAAUUCAAGUUGUGUACUUUACUCACAAUUGAAGGUCGUAUCUUUUGGUUAGAACAUAUGUAAAGCUAGGUAUAAACUCCUCUCUUUGAUUAUUGUGAAGGCCUUUUAAUGGAAUACGUUUGGGAGACUUUAUGUAAAAAAAAAAAAAAAAAAAAAAAUUUUAGAGAAGAAGAAGAAGAGACUUUGAUUCUU